GAUUUCCGAAUGGGGAAACCCAGUGUGAUUCGUCACACUAUCAUUAACUGAAUCCAUAGGUUAAUGAGGCGAACCGGGGGAACUGAAACAUCUAAGUACCCCGAGGAAAAGAAAUCAACCGAGAUUCCCCCAGUAGCGGCGAGCGAACGGGGAGGAGCCCAGAGCCUGAAUCAGCAUGUGUGUUAGUGGAAGCGUCUGGAAAGGCGCGCGAUACAGGGUGACAGCCCCGUACACAAAAGCGCAUGUGCUGUGAGCUCGAUGAGUAGGGCGGGACACGUGGUAUCCUGUCUGAAUAUGGGGGGACCAUCCUCCAAGGCUAAAUACUCCUGACUGACCGAUAGUGAACCAGUACCGUGAGGGAAAGGCGAAAAGAACCCCGGCGAGGGGAGUGAAAAAGAACCUGAAACCGU
rnacentral:rRNA from 1 species